ensembl:lncRNA
UGCAACAAAUCACCACAGAGGGAUGGGAUGGGACCACCAUUUUAUGUUUUUCCAGAUAUCUCCUGAGACACAAGCAGGUAGAUUCCUGAGCAAAAAUGGGAUUCCGUAAACAAGGAGGAAGAGGAGUGGCAGAAGAGUUUGUGAGGGGCUGCAAGGCCCAGAGAUCUGGACACAGGCCAAGAAGUCAAGAACUGUUGAAGCCGCAGUCUCCACUCUCCUACUGACACCAGAGACCACCCAGCCCAGCCACACCAUAUGGCCUCUUGUUUUCCUGAUGUAUGAGGUGGGUAGAACGCUUUUCCCCCAAAAGCGGACUCCAAGGGAUCAAUUAGUUAAAAUCUGUAAACAUGUAGCAUUAUAAUUACGAUUCCGGCUUCUAGUCGAAAUGAAACUGGCCAAAAGGAAAGAAAAUACUGACACUGCCUCUGAGGGCAGCUGCCACAGCUUUUCCGGUAUUUCCAGUCUGGUUGGUUGAAGAAUGUCUUGGAUCAGCUCAGCGCUUGACUGGCCCAGAGCUGUGCCUGCCCCAUUUGAAGAUAAGGAGGCCAAAAACCCAACUGAGCCCUGGACAUAACUAGGCCAUGGGAGUUUACACCAUUUGCUGUAGCAAACGCUGGGCCUCUCAAUAGGUUACAAUGUGUCUAAGGCAGGGCCCUAAACCUUCAGGUUGUUUAGGAAUUGACAGGUUGUGUAGAUGGCCAGUAAACAGAUUUUUGGUUUCUAAAGUGUGAGUCUAAAAGCAGUGCUGCUGGGCCAGGCGCAGGUGACUCAUGCCUGUAAUCCCAGCACUUUGGGAGGCCGAGGCGGGCAGAUUACGAGGUCAGGAGUUCGAGACUAGCUUGGCCAACACUGUGAAACACCGUCUCUACUAAAAAUACAAAAAUUAGCUGGGUGUGGUGGUGCGUGCCUGUAGUCCCAGCCACUAGGGAGGCUGAGGCAGAAGAAUCACUUGAAGCCGGGAGGCAGAGGUUGCAGUGAGCAGAGAUCGGGCCACUGCACUCCAUCCUGGCAACAGAGUGAGACCCAGUCUCAAAAAUAAAGAAAGAAAUAAAAAUAAAAGCAAUGCUACUAAGACAUCUGCGGCUGUCAGGG